rnacentral:rRNA from 1 species
AUUGAACGCUGGCGGCAUGCCUUACACAUGCAAGUCGAACGGCAGCACGGGGGCAACCCUGGUGGCGAGUGGCGAACGGGUGAGUAACACAUCGGAACGUGCCCAGUAGUGGGGGAUAGCUCGGCGAAAGCCGGAUUAAUACCGCAUACGACCUACGGGUGAAAGCGGGGGAUCGCAAGACCUCGCGCUAUCGGAGCGGCCGAUGUCAGAUUAGGUUGUUGGUGGGGUAAAGGCCACCAAGCCGACGAUCUGUAGCUGGUCUGAGAGGACGACCAGCCACACUGGGACUGAGACACGGCCCAGACUCCUACGGGAGGCAGCAGUGGGGAAUUUUGGACAAUGGGCGCAAGCCUGAUCCAGCCAUGCCGCGUGC